rnacentral:rRNA from 1 species
GUGGGGAAUAUUGGACAAUGGGCGAAAGCCUGAUCCAGCCAUGCCGCGUGUGUGAAGAAGGUCUUCGGAUUGUAAAGCACUUUAAGUUGGGAGGAAGGGCAGUAAGUUAAUACCUUGCUGUUUUGACGUUACCGACAGAAUAAGCACCGGCUAACUUCGUGCCAGCAGCCGCGGUAAUACGAAGGGUGCAAGCGUUAAUCGGAAUUACUGGGCGUAAAGCGCGCGUAGGUGGUUUUGUAAGUUGGAGGUGAAAUCCCGGGGCUCAACCUGGGAACUGCCUCCAAAACUGCAUGACUAGAGUACGGUAGAGGGUAGUGGAAUUUCCUGUGUAGCGGUGAAAUGCGUAGAUAUAGGAAGGAACACCAGUGGCGAAGGCGACUACCUGGACUGAUACUGACACUGAGGUGCGAAAGCGUGGGGAGCAAACAGGAUUAGAAACCCUUGUAGUCC